GCCAACGGCCAUACCGUGAUGAAUACACCGGUUCUCGUCCGAUCACCGAAGUUAAGCAUAAUCGGGCCCGGCUAGUAGUUGGAUGGGUGACCGCCUGGGAAACCCGGGUGCUGCUGUUGGCU